ensembl:lncRNA
UUAAGAGGUUCAUGAAGUGAUAUGUGUGUCUAACCAUGUCAUUCAUGUUCAAUCAACUUAAAGGCUGAAAUUCUUGUGCGAAGUUCUCGCGUGUUUAAAGGCCCAAGAUUUUCUUGGUCAAGGACCGCUCCCUCCCGCAUACGUGGACGAGCGUUUACAUCGUGGUCGCGCCUCACGGCAAGGGAGGACAGCGUGUCCGCGCACCGAAGGACCGCGCCGUCGGCCGUCAGCUGUUUGCAGGACUGUACUGUUGUAGCUUCCGACCAUGGAGUCUAGCAGCCUUUCUCCCCCGGAUGGACUGAGACCGGUUGACUGACCGAGUCCGACUGCCCAGUCAUCUCUAUUAUCUGCGGUGGGAAGUCUUCUGCAUUGUGCAAUGUGGAAGAUAUUAGAAGGGGACUGAGGGUGUGUUCAUCUAACGGUCGGUUUACAUGCUGAGUCACACACUGCCGCUCACAACGAUC